rnacentral:rRNA from 1 species
GGGCCCGCACAAGCGGUGGAGCAUGUGGUUUAAUUCGAAGCAACGCGAAGAACCUUACCAGGUCUUGACAUCCUUUGACCACCCUAGAGAUAGGGCUUUCCCUUCGGGGACAAAGUGACAGGUGGUGCAUGGUUGUCGUCAGCUCGUGUCGUGAGAUGUUGGGUUAAGUCCCGCAACGAGCGCAACCCUUAUUGUUAGUUGCCAUCAUUUAGUUGGGCACUCUAGCGAGACUGCCGGUGAUAAACCGGAGGAAGGUGGGGAUGACGUCAAAUCAUCAUGCCCCUUAUGACCUGGGCUACACACGUGCUACAAUGGGAAGUACAACGAGUCGCAAAGUCGCGAGGCUAAGCUAAUCUCUUAAAGCUUCUCUCAGUUCGGAUUGUAGGCUGCAACUCGCCUACAUGAAGCCGGAAUUGCUAGUAAUCGCGGAUCAGCAUGCCGCGGUGAAUACG